AUGCAACCCAUGGAGGGGGUUCUGGUUACUUUGGCAUCCUACGGCGCCACCAUGCUCGCCGAGAUGGCCAAAGAUAAGGUGGCCAUGUUGACCAGGGUCUCCGGCGAGAUCGACGAUCUUGGCGUCAACCUCAUGGACCUCAAGAACUUCCUUGCCAGUGCUAAUAGGAGGAACAUCACCGAUGAGAGCAUGCGGGCGUGGGUGGAGGAACUGAAGCGUGCCGUGCACGACGACGUCACUGACAUCCUCGACCGGUGUCGGCUCAAGGUCACGGAGUAG
rnacentral:rRNA from 1 species